rnacentral:rRNA from 1 species
CACGUAGGGUGCGAGCGUUGUCCGGAAUUAUUGGGCGUAAAGAGCUCGUAGGCGGUUUGUCGCGUCGGGAGUGAAAACCAUGAGCUUAACUCAUGGCUUGCUUUCGAUACGGGCAGACUAGAGGUAUGCAGGGGAGAACGGAAUUCCUGGUGUAGCGGUGAAAUGCGCAGAUAUCAGGAGGAACACCGGUGGCGAAGGCGGCUUCCUGGACCGACACUGACGCUGAGGCGCGAAAGCUAGGGGAGCAAACGGG